ACUCAAAGGAAUAGACGGGGGCCCGCACAAGCAGUGGAGUAUGUGGUUUAAUUCGAAGCAACGCGAAGAACCUUACCAGGGCUUGACAUCCUAAGAACACCAUGGAAACAUGGUGGUGCCCUUCGGGGAACUUAGAGACAGGUGGUGCAUGGUUGUCGUCAGCUCGUGUCGUGAGAUGUUGGGUUAAGUCCCGCAACGAGCGCAACCCUUACCUUUAGUUGCUACGCAAGAGCACUUUAGAGGGACUGCCGUUGACAAAACGGAGGAAGGUGGGGACGACGUCAAAUCAUCAUGCCCCUUAUGUCCUGGGCUACACACGUACUACAAUGGCGAUUAACAGAGGGAAGCAAGACAGUGAUGUGGAGCAAACCCCUAAAAAUCGUCUCAGUUCAGAUCGCAGGCUGAAACCCGCCUGCGUGAAGUAGGAAUUGCUAGUAAUCGCGGAUCAGCAUGCCGCGGUGAAUACGUUCCCGGGCCUUGCACACACCGCCCGU
rnacentral:rRNA from 1 species